rnacentral:rRNA from 1 species
ACCAACAGGGAUUGCCCUAGUAACGGCGAGUGAAGCGGCAACAGCUCAAAUUUGAAAUCUGGCUCUUUCAGAGUCCGAGUUGUAAUUUGCAGAGGGCGCUUUGGCUUUGGCAGCGGUCCAAGUUCCUUGGAACAGGACGUCACAGAGGGUGAGAAUCCCGUACGUGGUCGCUAGCUAUUGCCGUGUAAAGCCCCUUCGACGAGUCGAGUUGUUUGGGAAUGCAGCUCUAAAUGGGAGGUAAAUUUCUUCUAAAGCUAAAUAUUGGCCAGAGACCGAUAGCGCACAAGUAGAGUGAUCGAAAGAUGAAAAGCACUUUGGAAAGAGAGUCAAACAGCACGUGAAAUUGUUGAAAGGGAAGCGCUUGCAGCCAGACUUGCUUGCAGUUGCUCAUCCGGGCUUUUGCCCGGUGCACUCUUCUGCAGGCAGGCCAGCAUCAGUUUGGGCGGUGGGAUAAAGGUCUCUGUCAUGUACCUCUCUUCGGGGAGGCCUUAUAGGGGAGGCGACAUACCACCAGCCUAGACUGAGGUCCGCGCAUCUGCUAGGAUGCUGGCGUAAUGGCUGUAAGCGGCCCGUCUUGAAACACGGACCAAGGAGUCUAACAUCUAUGCGAGUGUUUGGGUGUCAAGCCCGAGCGCGUAAUGAAAGUGAACGGAGGUGGGAACCCGCAAGGGUGCACCAUCGACCGAUCCUGAAGUUUACGGAAGGAUUUGAGUAAGAGCAUGGCUGUUGGGACCCGAAAGAUGGUGAACUAUGCUUGAAUAGGGUGAAGCCAGAGGAAACUCUGGUGGAGGCUCGCAGCGGUUCUGACGUGCAAAUCGAUCGUCAAAUUUGGGCAUAGGGGCGAAAGACUAAUCGAAC